rnacentral:lncRNA from 1 species
AUGGAAACCAAUGGGAGUCAGUUUUUACACAAACACCACCGUAGUCACCAAAUUGUGUUCAGGCUUUCUAAAACACAUCUGUGUCUUGAAUCUCUGCGCGCAUGUUCAAGACCCCAAAAGAGAAACAUCCACCAAAUCUGAAGAAGAAAUGAAUAGUGAAACCAGAGUUUCAAGCUGUGUAAAAAUCUAAUCUGGGUCAACAAACGAUAAAACAAUUAAUAAUGUAUUUAAGUUUUACAAUGAAAUAAACAUUUAUUUUUAAAAUAACUGUCAUCUUAUAAAGCACAGAUUCACUUCUGUAAUAUCAUAAUGUUGUAUAUUUUCAUAAACUCUGGUAAAAAUGUCUAAAGUACUUUUUUUUUUUCUAUGUUCGUUUCUUUCCGAGCCAAACCUUGAUGGAGGCCGGUCUCCCGCGGCAUGCUGGGAGUUUUCAGCUCGAUCUGAGAGUGUGACGAGGCAUGGCACGCUAGAGACACACCGGGACUGUCAUCGACGGGAGCCCAGAGUUUGACAAACUGUUUCCCUCUUUUCCAGAAGAGCCCGUCCCGUUCAAGAGCUCCGGCCAUCUGAAUGGAGGCUUGUGUUCGUCCCGGACCCACACCUCUCUCUCUCAGGAAACUUCACACGUGUCUAAAUUACAGGAGGAAACACAAACACUGAGGGAUUGUGUGUGUCUCACAGCUGGAUUCAGGAAUGUUUCCUACGACACACGGUCAUCUCACGUCUGCAGACACACAGAUGCCACGGCCGGCCGCUCGAGCCAAAACCAUGAACACAGGAAAGACUGGAGAACCAGCUCGGAUUAAACCAGAGCCGCUCGUCUGCAGUCAAAUGUGUCCUGGCCAUGGUUUGAUGAGAUUCACCAGCUGUGUGCAUGCAGAUGUUUCUGGAUGAGAAUAGAUGUUUGGGCAGAAUCUGGAGCGGCCAACGUCCCACCAGACAAGCUGAACACAAAUAAACUGAGCUGCUGCUUUUGCUGAGGAGCGAAAGACAGAUGGAUAGAAGGAAAACAGAGAGAAGGAGAGAACGACGGGGCUGGUUUGGGGGUUGAAGGGUCAGACAGCAGCUUUAUGGGCCGUGCAUGACGCUUCACCAGACCGAACUAUUCAAAGCAGCUCAGAGGAACUGUUCCACAGACGGAGAUCAGACUCCACCGGAGCUUCUGUGAUGCUCUGACAAACUCAACUGAUGUCGGAUCACACUGACUGAAUAACUAAACACUGCUAGGGGAAAUAAAUGUGUGUUCGAUAUUUAAAGAUUUGUUUCAAAAACAUUAAUGCACAUUUGCCAAAUGCUGACAAUGUAUAAUGCCUUUUAUUAGACAGGGCAAUUAAAAAGAGGAGAAUUACGAAUUAAUGAAGAAUUAAGAGGGAAUGUUUUGUUCCUUAAUGAAUCAGAACAUUUGAACGAAUCGUUUGAGUGAAUGAUUCAAUGUCUCACUGAUGAAAACGGUCACUUGUUUUGUUCCUUAAUGAAUCAGAAGGUUUGAACGAAUCGGUUGAGUGAACGAUUCAAUGUCUCCGUGAUGAAAACAGUCACUUGUUUUGUUCCUUAAUGAAUCAGAAGGUUUGAACGAAUCGGUUGAGUGAACGAUUCAAUGUCUCCGUGAUGAAAACAGUCACUUGUUUUGUUCCUUAAUGAAUCAGAACGUUUGAACGAAUCGGUUGAGUGAACGAUUCAAUGUCUCCGUGAUGAAAACAGUCACUUGUUUUGUUCCUUAAUGAAUCAGAAGGUUUGAACGAAUCGGUUGAGUGAACGAUUCAAUGUCUCACUGAUGAAAACAGUCACUUGUUUUGUUCCUUAAUGAAUCAGAACGUUUGAACGAAUCAGUUGAGUGAACGAUUCAAUGUCUCCGUGAUGAAAACAGCCACUUGUUUUAUUCCUUAAUGAAUCAGAACGUUUGAACGAAUCAGUUGAGUGAACGAUUCAAUGUCUCCGUGAUGAAAACAGCCACUUGUUUUAUUCCUUAAUGAAUCAGAACGUUUGAACGAAUCGGUUGAGUGAACGAUUCAAUGUCUCCGUGAUGAAAACAGUCACUUGUUUUGUUCCUUAAUGAAUCAGAAGGUUUGAACGAAUCAUUUGAGUGAACGAUUCAAUGUCUCACUUAUGAAAACAGCCACUUGUUUUGUUCCUUAAUGAAUCAGAACGUUUGAACGAAUCAGUUGAGUGAACGAUUCAAUGUCUCCGUGAUGAAAACAGCCACUUGUUUUAUUCCUUAAUGAAUCAGAACGUUUGAACGAAUCAGUUGAGUGAACGAUUCAAUGUCUCCGUGAUGAAAACAGCCACUUGUUUUAUUCCUUAAUGAAUCAGAACGUUUGAACGAAUCAGUUGAGUGAACGAUUCAAUGUCUCCGUGAUGAAAACAGCCACUUGUUUUAUUCCUUAAUGAAUCAGAACGUUUGAACGAAUCAGUUGAGUGAACGAUUCAAUGUCUCCGUGAUGAAAACAGCCACUUGUUUUAUUCCUUAAUGAAUCAGAACGUUUGAACGAAUCGGUUGAGUGAACGAUUCAAUGUCUCCGUGAUGAAAACAGUCACUUGUUUUGUUCCUUAAUGAAUCAGAAGGUUUGAACGAAUCAUUUGAGUGAACGAUUCAAUGUCUCACUUAUGAAAACAGCCACUUGUUUUGUUCCUUAAUGAAUCAGAACAUUUGAGCGAAUCACAUAAGAAUGUCGAUGACAUUUUCAUGACAUAUCCGAAUGGAUGUUUCAAUACAAUUUUUUUUU